CCUACGGGAGGCAGCAGUAGGGAAUCUUUCACAAUGGGCGAAAGCCUGAUGGAGCAACGCCGCGUGCAGGAUGAAGGCCCUCGGGUUGUAAACUGCUUUUAUAAGCGAGAAAUAUGAUGGUAACUUAUGAAUAAGGAUCGGCUAACUACGUGCCAGCAGCCGCGGUCAUACGUAGGAUCCGAGCAUUAUCCGGAGUGACUGGGUGUAAAGAGUUGCGUAGGUGGCAUAAUAAGUAGCUAGUGAAAUCUGGUGGCUCAACCAUUCAGACUAUUAGCUAAACUGUUAAGCUCGAGACCGUUAGGGGUAACUGGAAUUUCUAGUGUAGGAGUGAAAUCCGUAGAUAUUAGAAAGAACACCAAUAGCGUAGGCAGGUUGCUGGGACGGUUCUGACACUAAGGCACGAAAGCGUAGGGAGCAAACGGGAUUAGAUACCCCGGUAGUC
rnacentral:rRNA from 1 species